UGGGGAAUAUUGGACAAUGGGCGGAAGCCUGAUCCAGCAACGCCGCGUGAGGGAUGACGGCCUUCGGGUUGUAAACCUCUUUCAGUACCGACGAAGCGAAAGUGACGGUAGGUACAGAAGAAGGACCGGCCAACUACGUGCCAGCAGCCGCGGUAAUACGUAGGGUCCGAGCGUUGUCCGGAAUUAUUGGGCGUAAAGGGCUCGUAGGCGGUUUGUCGCGUCGGGAGUGAAAACAGCGGGCUUAACUCGUUGCUUGCUUUCGAUACGGGCAGACUAGAGGUAUGCAGGGGAGAAUGGAAUUCCUGGUGUAGCGGUGAAAUGCGCAGAUAUCAGGAGGAACACCGGUGGCGAAGGCGGUUCUCUGGGCAUUACCUGACGCUGAGGAGCGAAAGUGUGGGGAGCGAACAGGAUUAGAUAACCCU
rnacentral:rRNA from 1 species